UAGGGAAUCUUCGGCAAUGGGGGCAACCCUGACCGAGCAACGCCGCGUGAGUGAAGAAGGUUUUCGGAUCGUAAAGCUCUGUUGUAAGUCAAGAACGAGUGUGAGAGUGGAAAGUUCACACUGUGACGGUAGCUUACCAGAAAGGGACGGCUAACUACGUGCCAGCAGCCGCGGUAAUACGUAGGUCCCGAGCGUUGUCCGGAUUUAUUGGGCGUAAAGCGAGCGCAGGCGGUUUGAUAAGUCUGAAGUUAAAGGCUGUGGCUCAACCAUAGUUCGCUUUGGAAACUGUCAAACUUGAGUGCAGAAGGGGAGAGUGGAAUUCCAUGUGUAGCGGUGAAAUGCGUAGAUAUAUGGAGGAACACCGGUGGCGAAAGCGGCUCUCUGGUCUGUAACUGACGCUGAGGCUCGAAAGCGUGGGGAGCGAACAGGAUUAGAUACCCUGGUAGUCCACGCCGUAACGAUGAGUGCUAGGUGUUGGAUCCUUUCCGGGAUUCAGUGCCGCAGCUAACGCAUUAAGCACUCCGCCUGGGGAGUACGACCGCAAGGUUG
rnacentral:rRNA from 1 species